CAGGUGCCGGGCGUCCGGGCGCUUGGCCUUCGGGCGUUUGGCGCUCGGGCGCUUGACGCGCAGCGUUCAAGCGCUGGUGCUUGGC
rnacentral:tRNA from 1 species